rnacentral:rRNA from 1 species
AGUCGAGCGGUAGCACAGAGAGCUUGCUCUCGGGUGACGAGCGGCGGACGGGUGAGUAAUGUCUGGGAAACUGCCUGAUGGAGGGGGAUAACUACUGGAAACGGUAGCUAAUACCGCAUAACGUCGCAAGACCAAAGUGGGGGACCUUCGGGCCUCAUGCCAUCAGAUGUGCCCAGAUGGGAUUAGCUAGUAGGUGGGGUAAUGGCUCACCUAGGCGACGAUCCCUAGCUGGUCUGAGAGGAUGACCAGCCACACUGGAACUGAGACACGGUCCAGACUCCUACGGGAGGCAGCAGUGGGGAAUAUUGCACAAUGGGCGCAAGCCUGAUGCAGCCAUGCCGCGUGUAUGAAGAAGGCCUUCGGGUUGUAAAGUACUUUCAGCGAGGAGGAAGGCAUUAAGGUUAAUAACCUUAGUGAUUGACGUUACUCGCAGAAGAAGCACCGGCUAACUCCGUGCCAGCAGCCGCGGUAAUACGGAGGGUGCAAGCGUUAAUCGGAAUUACUGGGCGUAAAGCGCACGCAGGCGGUUUGUUAAGUCAGAUGUGAAAUCCCCGGGCUC